GUUGCCUCCUGUGAAGACAUGCUUCCUUAUAUCCCCAUAUGAAUACUCCCGUUAUGGAAUGUAAGGAAGUGUGUGGUU
ensembl:miRNA MIR206 microRNA 206